rnacentral:rRNA from 1 species
UACGGGGGGGGCAAGCGUUGUUCGGAAUUACUGGGCGUAAAGGGCGCGUAGGCGGCCUGCUAAGUCGGACGUGAAAUCCCUCGGCUCGACCGAGGAACUGCGUCCGAUACUGGUGGGCUUGAAUCCGGGAGAGGGAUGUGGAAUUCCAGGUGUAGCGGUGAAAUGCGUAGAUAUCUGGAGGAACACCGGUGGCGAAGGCGGCAUCCUGGACCGGUAUUGACGCUGAGGCGCGAAAGCUAGGGGAGCAAACGGG